UAGUCCACACCGUAAACGAUGAAUGCCAGACGUCAGGGGGCUUGCCCUUUGGUGUCACACCUAACGGAUUAAGCAUUCCGCCUGGGGAGUACGGUCGCAAGAUUAAAACUCAAAGGAAUUGACGGGGGCCUACUACUAGUGGCGGAGCAUGUGGUUUAAUGCGAUAAUCCGCGCAAAACCUUACCAAUUUUUGAUAUAUUAUCUCAAAGAUAAAUUACUAAAAGGUAAUCUUAUCUUUAAGAUUUUACAGGUGUUGCACGACUGUCGUCAGUUCGUGUCGUGAGAUGUUGGGUUAAGUCCCGCAACGAGCGCAACCCUUGUCUUUAGUUGCCAUCAUUAAGUUGGGCACUUUAAAGAGACUGCCGGUGACAAACCGGAGGAAGGUAAGGAUGACGUCAAGUCAGCAUGCCCCUUAUGCUCUGGGCUACACACGUGCUACAAUGGCCGUGACAAAGAGUUGCUACUUUGUGAAAACAAGCUAAUCUCAUAAACGCGGCCUCAGUUCGGAUUGCAGGCUGAAACUCG
rnacentral:rRNA from 1 species